rnacentral:rRNA from 1 species
CCAGCAGCCGCGGUAAUACAGAGGGUGCAAGCGUUAAUCGGAAUUACUGGGCGUAAAGCGAGCGUAGGUGGCUUGAUAAGUCAGAUGUGAAAUCCCCGGGCUUAACCUGGGAACUGCAUCUGAAACUGUUAGGCUAGAGUAGGUGAGAGGGAAGUAGAAUUUCAGGUGUAGCGGUGAAAUGCGUAGAGAUCUGAAGGAAUACCGAUGGCGAAGGCAGCUUCCUGGCAUCAUACUGACACUGAGGCUCGAAAGCGUGGGUAGCAAACAGGAUUAGAUACCCUGGUAGUCCACGCCGUAAACGAUGUCUACUAGUCGUUGGGUCCCUUGAGGACUUAGUGACGCAGCUAACGCAAUAAGUAGACCGCCUGGGGAGUACGGCCGCAAGGUUAAAACUCAAAUGAAUUGACGGGGGCCCGCACAAGCGGUGGAGCAUGUGGUUUAAUUCGAUGCAACGCGAAGAACCUUACCUGGUCUUGACAUAUCUAGAAUCCUGCAGAGAUGCGGGAGUGCCUUCGGGAAUUAGAAUACAGGUGCUGCAUGGCUGUCGUCAGCUCGUGUCGUGAGAUGUUGGGUUAAGUCCCGCAACGAGCGCAACCCUUGUCCUUAGUUACCAGCGGGUUAAGCCGGGAACUCUAAGGAUACUGCCAGUGACAAACUGGAGGAAGGCGGGGACGACGUCAAGUCAUCAUGGCCCUUACGACCAGGGCUACACACGUGCUACAAUGGUAGGUACAGAGGGCAGCUACACAGCGAUGUGAUGCGAAUCUCAAAAAGCCUAUCGUAGUCCAGAUUGGAGUCUGCAACUCGACUCCAUGAAGUAGGAAUCGCUAGUAAUCGCGGAUCAGAAUGCCGCGGUGAAUACGUUCCCGGGCCUUGUACACACCGCCCGUCACACCAUGGGAGUUGAUUGCACCAGAAGUGGAUAGCUUAACCUUCGGGGAGG